CAACAAUAACACCACAAGCCAACUUACGCAGUUGCCAUACAAUGCUCUGUCAUUAGUUCGCGAUUCAUACAGGAAACAGUUACAGAUUUGUUAAUAAGUGAAUCAGGAUAUCCAACUGUCAAAAGAUGAGGACGGCGGUGCUGGCCCUGACGCUGGCGCUGAUGGGCGUGGCGUGGGCGGAGUUGGCUCCACCCGAGAGAUCCUACAAGAUCCUGAUGCUGUUGCCAGUAUCCUCGAAGAGCCACAGGAAUGUCUUCUUGCCGGUCGCCGAGGCUUUAGCCGAUCGAGGACACAAGAUUGUGAUGCUGGUCAACCCACCACCGGCGUCGAAGCACC